CCCGAAGCCCAGAUCAUCCAUUUGCUAAAAGCGGCCAUUAGUGAGCUGAGCUGAGCGCUCCCUCGAAGAAUACUAUGGAUUGUCAGAAGAAGCUUUCCCUCGCCGUGAUGAUUCGAGUCGUUACUGGUUACUGAAUAUGGCGCAGAUGUUACAUACGGAGAAGAGAUUAUUGAUCAUAAGCUGGUCAAAUGCGAACGCAAAGUAGACGGUAAUGGUUUUCGUUUUGGAGUUUUAUUCCUUUGAUAUUUAUUAAUUUGCCUUACCUAUUCGAAGCUGUUUAGCUGUUUUUGGUUAGAUUUUUAACAAUUAGGCCUAAUUAGUUGGGUAAUUUAGUGUUUAUUGCCUAUCUAAUCUUCACCUGAUAGAAAAUUGUUCGCAAGUUUGGUAUUAAUUUUAUGAGCUAAGAAAUUUUGUAUAUAUUGAAGUUUAGAGAUUUGUCAUUUUGAAGCACAUGUUUUUUGUUAUUUGAUCUUUAGCAAUUGUGGUUUGACAUCAGCUAACUAGUUGCUGCAUCUCAGCAGUCCACUAGGGAUGCUAGAAAUCAAUUAUGAUUUCAAAUUGAUCCUUGUAAGCCUGUCCAGAUGUGCUUUUGUUACUUAAUUCUAAGUUUGCAGUGUCAUGCCAACCAACUUAAGGAAUCCUACUGCAAUACAUAAGCACAUUCUAGUAUAAUCUUCAAUGGCGUACUUACCAUAGAACAAUAAUGAAUUCUUUUGUUUGUUAAAUUUGAGUCAGGCUAGGCUUUUGGAGUACACUGAACACAGAGGUCAGAGGUCAGAUAGGCGAAUAAGCCAGGCAGACUAAUUCAGUGAUAAUCAAUAUCCUGACCGCUUUUGGGGCAAAUUGUUUUCCAACUGAUUGAAGUGUUUGAGUUUACAGUCUAAUCAAAUGGCUAAAUAUAUCUUCCUGUUGAGAUAGGGUUUGGCACGUAAGUAAUAACUCAAUCUUGAAUAUGCUAGAAUUGACACCAUUUUCAAAGUUUUUGCGUUUUCAGUUUCAAAUUGUAACAACUUUUUUCCCUUGUGUUUCACACUAUAUGUUCUAUUUGGAAAUAUCUUUUUUUUUAAUACAUUCACAAUGAAGUUGUGAAUUGUAUCUUUUAGUUUCUCGAAUGCCCCUAUUCUUUAAGGGAGAUGUAUUUACUUAUAGAAAAUGGAGCUCUGUUCUCUAUUUUCUAUCUUCUAAGAGAACCUACUUUUCAUUUUCUAAGGAAAACAGAGGAAACGAUAGAAAACAUAUUCACCUAUCAAUGAAAAAAAAUUAUUUUCUAUUUCAAUAAUAAAAAGUAUUAGUAACUUGUAUAAUUAAAAAAUAAAUCAUUAAAAAAUAUUUUAAAAAUUUAAUUAUUUUAUUUAAAUUUUUUUACCAUGUAUUAAUUAAUUAAUUUAUAAUUAUAUAAUAAAAUUUAUAAUUAUGAUAAUCUCACAAUAUAAUUGUAAAGAACCAUUGUUUUCCAUUUGGAAAAUAAUCAGAAGAAUAGAAAAAUUAGUUGUCCAGUUCUCCAUUUGGAAAACUGACAUGUGGACAUGGAAUUCUAAUUUUUCAGUUUUCUUAAAAUACUUUUUCUUUUUCAAGAAAACUACUCCAGUUUUCUAGGAGUGAACAGGCCCUUAGUGUCUCCCACCCAUCCCUCCUACUGUCACACACACACACACACACACUCUCUCUCUCUCUCUCUCCUCAAUAUUAUGGUCUGAUGUUACCCUGUCUGGGCUGUUUAUAUGUUGAGCUGCUAACCAUGGUUGAUUGAUGUGAUGUACUGCUUUAGGAGGUGUGUGAUAAAUUUGUCAUAAUUUAAAUUGUGAUAUAUUGUUGCCCUUGAGUUGUCUGAUAAAUGCUACCACUUUUUCCUGUUGUCUAAUUAUAGUCAUUGCUAACAGAGAUGUCUUUGGUUAUGAUGAUUUUGAAUGAAUUAAAGGUGCAAACAGGUAGCUAAAUGACACCCUCCAAUUUGUUCUCCUGUAAUGUUUAAGCAUGUGCUAUAUAAUGUGGCUCAAUUUCUGCAACUUUCUUGAACAUUACCUGUUUAUAUAUUUAUGAUUGAAUAUUAGGUUAAUCUUGAUAAGCUGAUUGUUUAUCAGUAUUGGGGCAUUUUGAUAAGUUUUGCCGCAUGAUCAUUUGGGUUUUGGGACACAUCUUGGUUGUUUAUCAGACAAUGUGCCAAUUACAAUUCUGAAAAGGUAUGUGGAUUGUGGAUAAUGAAACUUGAAGAUAUGGUUGAAAGUGAGGAUGAGAAGGGAGAGAGUGGAAGGAGAAACGAUAUGGAGAUAUGUUUACUUCAUUUGAUUGGAAAGAGAUAGAUGGAAGGAAAAAGAAUAGGAAAAUACUAAUACUACGGCAGCCAUCCAAAAUGCAUGGUGGAAAGGAAAGAAGAGGGAAAUGCCUUGAUUUCAUUUUUCACAUUUUCAAACAAACAUGAAAUCUGGUAUUCUCAACCAACCAAAUGGAAUGAAGUAAAAUCUUCCUUCUCUCUUAACCUUUUGCUCCUCCAUAAUUUUAUUCUCUGGCAGAACAAUACUGGUUUCUGAAACCUUUGAUGAAAAAGAAAGAGAGAGCAGAAGUUUUGAAAGAAAAUACUUUAUUAUUCCCAUCAAGCUAAUUGGGAUAUAUAUUAUUUACAAGAGUACAUACUAGGUAAGAAAAUAAAUUAAUUCCCUAAUUAUAUCCAACAAUCAUAUCCCUAAUUAUUACUACAAAUCUAGACUCUUAAACUUAACUUUAAUGGGGCAGUAGAUAAAAAUAAUUACUGUGGUUCUAUAGUAGUUAUAAUAAGAGACUAUUAGAAACAAUUUCUAAUUGCAGGUUGGUCCUGUAAAAAAAUUCCAGGUAUUAUGGACUAUUUUAUUCUUGAAGUCUUAGCUUAUAGAGAGGCAUCCUUGCUUGGUUCCUCUCGAAGUUUUCAAGCUGCUUUGGUGGAAGGAGACAGUCUACAAAUGAUCAACGCAAUCAAGGGACAUUCCUCCUUUCUCUCUAUUAGAGGAGUGAUUAAUGAUAUUUUUUGUUUAGUUUUUUCUCGUAAUCUGUCCCUUCUUUGUGUCAAUAGGAGAAGGAAUAUUGCAGCACAUACUUUAAUUAGAAAUACUUGCUAGAUGACUCCUUCAAUUGUAAUCCUUUGACACAAUCCUCUUUUAUACACUCUUCUCUUACUCACUAAGGGGUUUCAGUAAAACUUUCUUUUUGAAGAAAAAAAAAAUUCUUUGUACUUCGUCCUCA